UCAAGUUGGAAAGGGCCCAAUAGACACCACCAUGAAUUCCAGCCUAAUAUGGAUUUUAAUGAGGACUCUUGGAUGCAAGUAACAUAAACCCAACUGCUAUCAGCUAACAGAGAGGAAGGAGGGGGUUCUGGAAAGAAGAGUGAUUGGUGUCACUCUCUGAAUCAGAAGAACUGCAGGAUGUGGGCUCCUGGCCAGAAAGAGCCUCGCAAGAAGGUGGCCAUCUGAAAACCAAGAAGAGAGUCCUCACGAGAAACUGAAAUUGCCAGCACCUUGAUCUUGGACAUCCCAGCCUCCAGAAUGAUGCUGCACUUGAUGGAUUAGCUGGUACUACCACCCAGAUCGAUAAACUGGCUCAUCUCAUCUUGUGGCCCCCACCCAGGAACUGACUCAGUACAAGAGGACAGCUUCGGUUUCCCAUGAUUUCAUCUCCAACCCAACCAAUCAGCACUCUCGACACACAGGACUUCCCCCACCCACCAAAUUAUCUUUAAAAACUCUGAUUCCCAAAUGUUCGGGGAGACUGAUUUGAGUAGUAAUGAAACUCUGAUCUCCUCCACAGCCUGCUCUCUGUGUGAAUUACUCUUUCUCUAUUGCAAUUCCCCUGUCUUGAUAAGUCAGCUCUGUCUAGGCAGCAGGCAAGACACAGCCCAGCUGUUA